rnacentral:rRNA from 1 species
UGCAAAUCAAUAUAAAUUGAUAAUUAAUAUUUAUUUAUUAUUAUUAUUUAUGUAUUUAUUUAUUUAUAAUUUAUUAAAAAUAAUUAUAUAAUUUAGUGUUUUAGUAAUUUUUAAUGAAAAAAUAAUAUUAAUAAUAGUUUAUUAAGUAUUGUAAAAGGUUAUUGAAAUAAUUGAAAAAUUUUUAUUUUAAAAGAAAAUUUAAUUUAUUGUACCUUCUGUGUCAGGGUUUAUUAAAUAAUUAAUAAAUAUUUAUUAACUCGAUUUUAUAAGAGUUAAUAAUUUAUAAAAGUUAAUGUAUCAAAAUUAUUUUAAAUAAAUUAUUAGAAAUGAAAUGUUAUUCGUUUAUAAAGGUAUCUAGUUUUUUUAGAAAUAAAUUUAAUUUACAAGAUUUUAAUUUUUAUUUUUUUUUUAUAAAAUAAAAAUUUAUUAUUUUGAAUAUUUUAAGGGAUAAGCUUUAAAAUAAAUUAUUAAAAAUUAAUAAUUGUUAUUAAAAAUGUAUGUAUAGAAUUAGCAAUCAUUUAUAAGUUUGUUAUAAAUUAUUUUAUUAUUUUAUUAUUUAUUUAUAUUUUAAUUAUUUUUAUAAAAAUUUUUAUUUAAAUAAAAAUUGUUAAUUAAUAAUGAUAAAAUUAGUAUAUUUUAUUGUAAAAAUAAUUUAAAUUGGUAAGUUUAUAUAAAGAAUUCGGCAAAUUUUAUUCUCGCCUGUUUAACAAAAACAUGUCUUUUUGUAUUAUAUAAAAAGUCUAACCUGCCCACUGAAUUUAUUUAAAUGGCCGCAGUAUUUUAACUGUGCAAAGGUAGCAUAANCAUUAGUCUUUUAAUUGAAGGCUGGUAUGAAUGGUUGGACGAAGUAUAAGCUGUUUCAUUUAAAUUUAUUAUUGAAUUUUAUAUUUUAGUUAAAAAGCUAAAAUUUUUUUAAAAGACGAGAAGACCCUAUAAAUCUUUAUAUUUUUUAGUAAUUAAAUUUUAUUGGUUUAUUUUAUUUUUAUACUAUAUAAUAUUUUGUUGGGGUGAUAUUAAAAUUUAAUAAACUUUUAAUUUUAUAAAAUCAUUUAUUUAUGAUUUAUUGAUCCGUUAAUAACGAUUAUAAGAUUAAGUUACUUUAGGGAUAACAGCGUAAUUUUUUUGGAGAGUUCUUAUUGAUAAAAAAGUUUGCGACCUCGAUGUUGGAUUAAGAUAUAUUUUAGGUGUAGUUGCUUAAAAAUAAAGUCUGUUCGACUUUUAAA